rnacentral:rRNA from 1 species
AAUGAACGUUGGCGGCGUGGAUUAGGCAUGCAAGUCGAACGAAUCCCUUGUAGCAAUACGAGGGGGAAGUGGCGAAAGGGGCAGUAAUGUUUAGGUAACCUACCCCGUGCUCGCGGAUAGCCUUCCUAACGGUUGGGUAAUACGCGGCGUUGUACCGGAGGGGCAUCCCUCUGUUACUAAAGAAUCUCGGCAUGGGAGGGGCCUAAAUCGUAUCAGCUAGUUGGUGAGGUAACGGCUCACCAAGGCGUAGACGCGUAGCGGGUGUGAGAGCACGACCCGCCGCCACUGGCACUGAGACACUGGCCAGACUCCUACGGGAGGCUGCAGUCGAGGAUCUUCGGCAAUGGGCGCAGGCCUGACCGAGCGACGCCGCGUGUGCGAUGAAGGCCUCGGUUGUAAG